rnacentral:rRNA from 1 species
AACGGAAAGGCCCUUCGGGGUACUCGAGUGGCGAACGGGUGAGUAACACGUGGGUGAUCUGCCCUGCACUUUGGGAUAAGCCUGGGAAACUGGGUCUAAUACCGAAUAUGAUCAUCGGCUUCAUGGUCGGUGGUGGAAAGCUUUUGCGGUGUGGGAUGGGCCCGCGGCCUAUCAGCUUGUUGGUGGGGUAAUGGCCUACCAAGGCGACGACGGGUAGCCGGCCUGAGAGGGUGACCGGCCACACUGGGACUGAGAUACGGCCCAGACUCCUACGGGAGGCAGCAGUGGGGAAUAUUGCACAAUGGGCGCAAGCCUGAUGCAGCGACGCCGCGUGAGGGAUGACGGCCUUCGGGUUGUAAACCUCUUUCAAUAGGGACGAAGCGCAAGUGACGGUACCUAUAGAAGAAGGACCGGCCAACUACGUGCCAGCAGCCGCGGUAAUACGUAGGGUCCGAGCGUUGUCCGGAAUUACUGGGCGUAAAGAGCUCGUAGGUGGUUUGUCGCGUUGUUCGUGAAAACUCACAGCUUAACUGUGGGCGUGCGGGCGAUACGGGCAGACUGGAGUACUGCAGGGGAGACUGGAAUUCCUGGUGUAGCGGUGGAAUGCGCAGAUAUCAGGAGGAACACCGGUGGCGAAGGCGGGUCUCUGGGCAGUAACUGACGCUGAGGAGCGAAAGCGUGGGGAGCGAACAGGAUUAGAUACCCUGGUAGUCCACGCCGUAAACGGUGGGUACUAGGUGUGGGUUUCCUUCCUUGGGAUCCGUGCCGUAGCUAACGCAUUAAGUACCCCGCCUGGGGAGUACGGCCGCAAGGCUAAACUCAAAGGAAUUGACGGGGGCCCGCACAGCGG